UUAAAAUAUUUUGUAGCUCGUAUAAUUGCAAGAAUAUGGCUUGCGAGUCUCUACCGAGUCACCGUAAAUGACUCGACUACGGGUGAGGUA
rnacentral:ncRNA from 1 species